rnacentral:rRNA from 1 species
GAUGAACGCUGGCGGCGUGCCUAAUACAUGCAAGUCGAGCGAACGGACGAGAAGCUUGCUUCUCUGAUGUUAGCGGCGGACGGGUGAGUAACACGUGGAUAACCUACCUAUAAGACUGGGAUAACUUCGGGAAACCGGAGCUAAUACCGGAUGAUAUUUUGAACCGCAUGGUUCAAAAGUGAAAGACGGUCUUGCUGUCACUUAUAGAUGGAUCCGCGCUGCAUUAGCUAGUUGGUAAGGUAACGGCUUACCAAGGCAACGAUGCAUAGCCGACCUGAGAGGGUGAUAGGCCACACUGGAACUGAGACACGGUCAAGACUCCUAAGGGAGGCAGCAGUAGGGAAUCGUACGCAAUGGGCGAAAGCAUGACGGAGCAACGCCGAGUGAGUGAUGAAGGUCUUCGGAUCGUAAAACUCGGUUAUUAGGGAAGAACAUAUGUGUAAGUAACUGUGCACAGCGUGACGGUACCGAAUCAGAAAGCCACGGCUAACUACGUG